AACCCGGGCAGGUGGAGGUCGUUAGCGAAAGCAGUUCACCUAGGAGAGCAAACUCCGAUUACAAACCCGGGCAGGUGAGGUUCGUUAGCCGUGGUAGGCAAUUCACCUAGGAGAGCAAACUCCGAACAAUAAACCCGGGCAGGUGGAGCUCGUCAGCCGUGGUAGGCAGUCUGCCUAGGAGAGCAAACUCCGAACAAUAAACCCGGGCAGGUGGAGCUCGUCAGCCGUGGUAAGCAGUCUGCCUAGGAGAGCAAACUCCGAACAAUAAACCGGGGCUUGUGGUGCUCGUUAGAUGUCGUAGACAGUCCACGUGAUGGGAACACCAAAGAAAAGGAAAAUAAAAAGGAACACCAGAAAAAGGAAAAUAAAGUAACAAAACAUCAAGAAAAAAAAAAAACACAGAUCAUCCACCUUCAGGCCCUAACAUCUCCAAAAUUAUGGAUGAGUCUUUUCUGGGGAGAAAGAGGCUCAUCCAGACCAACGAACAUCAAAAAGGGAUGAUAUAGAAAGGAACACCACAAAAAUGGGAAAAAGAGAACAAAACAUCGCAAAAGAAAAGUAACAACAAUAACAGAACAACGUCAAGAAAAGUAACAUACAAAGAAACAUCAUCCACCAUUCGGCCCCAAACUAACAUCACCGAAAUUAUGGGUGGGUCUUUUCUGGGGAGAAAGAGGCUCAUCCAGACCAACGAACAUCAAAAAGGGAUGAUAUAGAAAAGAACACCAAGAAAUAGGGGAAAAAAGAGCAAAAAAACAUCGCAAAA